AACACUGACCGCUUUCUUCCUCAGUUUCUACUGGUUUCCCAGUUCAUGGUAGAAAGUGAUGGAACAGGUGUCGUCAGACCUGAUAACCUGGUACAAACCUGAACUUCUAGGGAACGCAUUGGGAACCCAGAUCGUUACAGAGGUAGCUUUGGAGGUGGAGAGCCCAGCCAUGUAGGAGAGUCAGAAAGGAGCUACACACUACUGCUUGGCCUCGUCUGGCAUGGUGCUUCAGUGGAGAACCUGGAAGAUUCAGGAAUGUGGAGGAAGCUCUAUGGUUUUGCCACCAGAAUAAUGCUUUAACCCUGCUGCGCUGUACUCCUGCAAGUGUUCAGAUGGCGCAAGAGCAGGGAGAAGGCAUGUAAAUACCUACACAGAUUCCAACAGUAUCACUCAAAGGCACUGGAGUGCUGAAUACUCUACAAACACUGGGAAAAUGAAACAGAAGUACUGGAGUUACUGGCAGACUGAUCCUGUACUCAAGGAAGGCAAUGACAGUUUCCAUAACCCAUGACUAUACCCUGGAAGCCAAGAUUCUGCCUGUUUUGCUUAUGCUCAGUAUUAGAAUAUAUCUUACUGAUGUCAGUGCAGUUCUCAUGGCAUACCUUGAUGUAAGCAAGACUGACAAAGGUGGUCACCAGGCCACUCAUUCCAUUCUUUUCAGUCAAUUAUCUUUCAGGAUGUUCUAUAAAAUGUUUGGUUUUGGUCCAUGAUAUUAAAAAAGGAUUCAGUAUGGGAGGUGCUUUCCCUGCCAUAGGGUUAGCAGAAUAGAGCAACCUCGUCCUAUUAUCUUGGCUCCAGCAAAGGAUCAUAUGCCAAUCUUUAAAGGGAACAAACAACUUCUGUCCCUGUGCUUACUGGAGUCCUUACAACGCUUCUGUCCCAGCACUCCCGUGGGAGAAGCCAGCUUGAGUCCAUGUCCACGCAUGUGAUAACGUUCCCUUGGCUAUUUCUUUCUCUGAGGAUUAGUGGCAUUUGAUUUGCUUGGUAAUAACACUACUUGAGUAGAUAACACUACCAAAAAAAAAAAAAAAAAAAAAAAAAGGAGGGGAAUUAGUGCUUCAAAUUCUGUCUAUAUCCAAGUUUUCAUUUUUCUCCUUUCCAAGAGAAAAGGACCAUUUCUGGCACAGGCUCUUCACAAGCAGCCUCAUUGUCAUGCCCAUGUUUUUUAAGGCCUGACAUGCCUGGACAAGAAGAAAGAGAUUUAGCCACCUUUAAAACUACUAAUUGAUCUGCAAAGAUAUAUGAACCAGCUGAUGAUGUCAUAUCAACAUAUUAGAGAAAAUUUUAUUAACCCUAAGGCAUCCACUGGUAUGAGCUUGCACAUUAGGGCAAGCCAGUGUUUGGGACACAGUGAUGCUUUCUGCUUGCUGGGCUCAGCUCUUUAGCCUUUCCUGAGCACUUUCACUGGGAGGUCAUGCUCUACCCCACUCCUGAGAUCUGAGGUUACAGCAUAAAGUGAAUUUUCCCUUUAUAUAAAUAAUUAAUGGUACCAAACACUAGCUACAGAAAGCAAUUCAAGAGCUAGAAGACAUGCAGCAAGUUAAUAACUUUAAUCAUAUCAAAUCCAGGUGAUCAAAACCACUAAUCCAGCCAUAAGGUAUAAAAGGCUAUAAAACCCAUUGAGAAACCUAAGGAAAAGUAGUUAAUAUUCUGUUUUAAAGACUUGCAAUGGCAAUACUGAGUAACUAUAGAAAUUUAUAGUUAAAAGGAGCUGUUUCUGAAGAGAAUCACACUUAAUUUUAGAGUUUCCAAAUAUUUUAUCUAAAUAUAAUAUUAAUAUAAUUUUCAUAUGGCCAUAGUUUCACACCUGUUCUGAUAAUUCAACAACCUGAAUGUAAAGCAUUACCAGAGUGUUUGGAAGCCAUAAGGGGAGUCAUGCUUAAAGUCUGUAAUUUGACAUGAGACUUGGGAUUUAUUUGUACCCCUGAUGACUUAGCCCUCCCACUCUGCUAGCAGGCAGGACUCGAUCUCAGCAUUCAUAACAUUCUCACUGCUGUGGUUUUUCUUCUCUGAUGUAUCUGUUUACUUAAAAUAUUAGUAAUGCCUUCAAAAAAUCCUUCUUUGUUGUCUUUUCUUUUUUACAGCAAAUCUGUGUUCUCUUACAGUAAUUUGCUUUCCUAGCUCAUCAUUAUCUUUUGUACAAAUAGAUUAGGGAUGAAAAAUUUUGUUAAUGAUAUUGUCAUGACACUUACUUGGUCCAAAUGAGAGACUCAAAGCAACUUACAGUAGAUCUGCCAAUGGCAGGGAAAUAUAUAUUUGUUGGCUUAGAGUUUUUGAUUCUUUCAAUUUUUAUAGACUUUAGUAGUAGUUAUGUAGUGAAUGUAGAUUUUAAAGUAGCCAUAUUAUAUCCCUCACCCUUUAGCACAGUAGUUUACACAUUUUAUCAACAUUGUUGCCCCAUUCCAUAUCACUUCCUCAAAAUUCUGUUAAUUCCGUUAGCUUGUUUAGACUUCCCUCAAGGCAGGCCUUCAUUCUGUUUAAGAACAUCUGCACCCUGGCCUGGACAAUAAGAUAUCACACAGACACAGGACUUUGGAGGGCCUCCAAGGACUGUACGUGCUGUGAUGAAGAGGAAGAUGAUGAAAGAGGGGUCCCAAACUCCCCCAGACUCAAUUCCCAAAGGGGUGUGCUGAGGGGCAGAACAGGGCAGAACUGGGGGCUGGACAAGCGGGGAUCGGAUGGACAUCAUUAUAAAAUUGUAGCACCUGAAUCAAAAGCGCGUGUGCGACAGUUGUAUUCCCAGAGUAUGGUGGCUCAUUAAAACUUCUACUUUCUUAUCUCCUACCUAACUGGGCCUGGAGUUUUUUUUUCCCCUCAGUCUUUUAGGCAACAGUUAAUUCUAUUUAUUAUGGAACACUGGCAAUAAAUCUUUUCAACUUGAUCCUAUUUUAAUGCAAACCACCAUACCUAUGU